rnacentral:rRNA from 1 species
UCUCAAGAAGUGUUUUCCGCUUCGGACCAUGCCUAAGUCCCUUGGAAAAGGGCAUCAUAGAGGGUGAUAAUCCCGUACAUGGCAUGGAGCGCCCGAAGCUUUGUGAUACGCUUUCUAAGAGUCGAGUUGUUUGGGAAUGCAGCUCAAAAUGGGUGGUAAAUGCCAUCUAAGGCUAAAUAUUGGGGAGAGACCGAUAGCGAACAAGUACAGUGAUGGAAAGAUGAAAAGAACUUUGAAAAGAGAGUUAAACAGUACGUGAAAUUGCCAAAAGGGAAGGGUAGGAGGUCAGAGAUGCGGCCUGGGAUUCAGCCUUGCUUUUGCUUGGUGUUUUUCCCAGAUUGCAGGCCAACGUCGGUUUUGGGCACUGGAGAAGGGUAGGAGGAACGUGG